rnacentral:rRNA from 1 species
AACGAACGCUGGCGGCGUGCCUUACACAUGCAAGUCGAGCGCGAAUGGGAGCAAUCCCUAGUAGAGCGGCGCACGGGUGCGUAACACGUGGGUAAUCUGCCUGGAAGACCGGGACAACCUGCCGAAAGGCUGGCUAAUACCGGAUAAGCUCACAGGGUCUUCGGACCUUGUGAGAAAAGGUGGCCUCUGUACAAAAGCUAUCACUUCCAGAUGAGACCGCGGCCCAUCAGCUAGUUGGCGGGGUAACGGCCCACCCAGGCUACGACGGGUAGCUGGUCUGAGAGGACGAUCAGCCACACUGGAACUGAGACACGGUCCAGACUCCUACGGGAGGCAGCAGUGGGGAAUUUUGCACAAUGGGCGAAAGCCUGAUGCAGCAACGCCGCGUGUGUGAUGAAGGUCUUCGGAUUGUAAAGCACUUUCGACCGGGACGAACACCCCUUGGCUAACAUCCAGGGGCCUGACGGUACCGGGAGAAGAAGCACCGGCUAACUCUGUGCCAGCCGCCGCGGUAAUAC